UACAGAGAGUGCAAGCGUUAAUCGGAAUCACUGGGCGUAAAGCGCGCGUAGGUGGAUAUCUAAGUCGAAUGUGAAAGCCCUGGGCUUAACCUAGGAACUGCAUCCGAUACUGGGUAACUAGAGUAUGGUAGAGGGAAGUGGAAUUUCCGGUGUAGCGGUGAAAUGCGUAGAUACCGGAAGGAACACCAGUGGCGAAGGCGACUUCCUGGACCAAUACUGACACUUAGGUGCGAAAGCGUGGGGAGCAAACAGG
rnacentral:rRNA from 1 species